GACGAACGCUGGCGGCGUGCUUAACACAUGCAAGUCGAACGGAAAGGCCCUGCUUUUGUGGGGUUCUCGAGUGGCGAACGGGUGAGUAACACGUGAGUAACCUGCCCUUGACUUGGGGAUAACUUCAGGAAACUGGGGCUAAUACCGUAUAGUGGCUCCUGCGGCAUGUUGGGUGAUGGAAAGUUUCGGCGGUUGGGGAUGGACUCGCGGCUUAUCAGCUUGUUGGUGGGGUAGUGGCUUACCAAGGCGUUGACGGGUAGCCGGCCUGAGAGGGUGACCGGCCACAUUGGGACUGAGAUACGGCCCAGACUCCUACGGGAGGCCGCAGUGGGGAAUAUUGCACCAUGGGAGGAAGCCUGAUGCAGCAACGCCGCGUGCGGGAUGACGGCCUUCGGGUUGUAAACCGCUUUCGCCUGUGACGAAGAGUGAGUGACGGUAAUGGGUGAAGAAGCACCGGCUAACUACGUG
rnacentral:rRNA from 1 species